CUUCAGCAAGUACUGCAACUCCAGCGACAUCAUGGACCUGUUCUGCAUCGCCACCGGCCUGCCUCGGAACACGACCAUCUCCCUGCUGACCACCGACGACGCCAUGGUCUCCAUUGACCCCACCAUGCCCGCGAAUUCAGAACGCACUCCCUACAAAGUGAGACCUGUAGCCAUCAAGCAACUCUCUGAGAGAGAAGAAUUAAUCCAGAGCGUGCUGGCACAGGUUGCAGAGCAGUUCUCAAGAGCAUUCAAAAUCAAUGAACUGAAAGCCGAAGUUGCAAAUCACUUGGCUGUACUAGAGAAACGUGUGGAAUGACCAACUGCCCCUGUAAGUACAGUUUUUUGGAUAACCACAAGAAGUUGACUCCUCGACGCGAUGUUCCCACUUACCCCAAGUAUCUGCUCUCUCCAGAGACCAUCGAGGCCCUGCGGAAGCCGACCUUUGACGUCUGGCUUUGGGAGCCCAACGAGAUGCUGAGCUGCCUGGAGCACAUGUACCACGACCUCGGGCUGGUCAGGGACUUCAGCAUCAACCCUGUCACCCUCAGGAGGUGGCUGCUCUGCGUCCACGACAACUACAGAAACAACCCCUUCCACAACUUCCGGCACUGCUUCUGCGUGGCCCAGAUGAUGUACAGCAUGGUCUGGCUCUGCAGUCUCCAGGAGAAGUUCUCACAAACGGAUAUCCUGAUCCUAAUGACAGCGGCCAUCUGCCACGAUCUGGACCAUCCCGGCUACAAUAACACGUACCAGAUCAACGCCCGCACAGAGCUGGCGGUCCGCUACAAUGACAUCUCACCACU
rnacentral:sRNA from 1 species